GGGGCUGUGGCUCAGUGGCAGAGCCUCUGCUUGGCAUGCAGAAGGCCCCGGGUUCAAUCCCCGGCAGCUCCA